GAAGGAUAGCAGCAUGGGCCUGUCUCACUGCAGAAUUAUUUUGAGACAGGCUCAUGCUGCUAUCCUUCC
rnacentral:pre_miRNA from 1 species